rnacentral:rRNA from 1 species
CAUAAUCGGUACGGGUUGUGAGAGCAAGAGCCCGGAGACGGUAUCUGAGACAAGAUACCGGGCCCUACGGGGCGCAGCAGGCGCGAAACCUUUACACUGCACGCGAGUGCGAUANGGGGACUCCGAGUGCGAGGGCAUAUAGUCCUCGCUUUUCACGACCGUAAGGUGGUCGUAGAAUAAG